rnacentral:rRNA from 1 species
AUUGAACGCUGGCGGCAUGCUUUACACAUGCAAGUCGGACGAGUGGCGAACGGGUGAGUAACGCAUCGGAACGUACCGAGUAAUGGGGGAUAACUGUCCGAAAGGACAGCUAAUACCGCAUAUUAUUCGAGCGGCCGAUGUCUGAUUAGCUGGUUGGCGGGGUAAAGGCCCACCAAGGCGACGAUCAGUAGCGGGUCUGAGAGGAUGAUACGCGACACUGGGACUGAGACACGGCCCAAACACUGACGGGAGGAAGCAGUGGGGAAUUGUGGACAAUGGGCGGAAGUCUGAUCAAGCGAUGCGGCGGGGCUGAAGAAGACCUGCGGGUGGUAAAGCACUUUAAGUUGGGAGGGGUUACCAACAGAAUAAGCACCGGCUAACUUCGGGCCAGCAGCCGCGGUAAUAC